rnacentral:rRNA from 1 species
GACGUAGGGCGCAAGGCGUUGUCCGGAUUUAUUGGGCGUAAAGGAGCUACGUAGGCGGCUUGUCGCGUCGACAUGUGAAAAACCCGCGGCUACAACUGCGGGCCUGCCAGUCGAUACGGGCUAGGACUAGAGUUCGGUAGGGGAGACUUGGAAUUCCGUGGGUGUAAGCGGGUAGUCAAAUGCGCCAGGAUAAUCAGGAGGGAACACCGGUUGGCGGAAAGGGCAGGGUCCUCGUGGGGCCGGAUUACUGACGCUGAAGGAGCGAAAGCGGUGGGGAGCGAAACAGG